AUGCCGACCCAUACUGCCUCCCACGUCAACUCUCCGUCGACGCUGGCUAUCCGCGCCGCCGCUGACCAGGGCCACCCGCGCCGCGCCAUCGCGCUCUACCUCUCAUCCCUCCGCUCCGUCGCCGCCCACCGCCCCUGCCCCUUCGCCCUCGCCGCCGUCCUCAAGUCCGUCUCCCGCCUCCCCGCUCACACCGCGGCCACCGCCGCCGCCUCCCUUCACGCUCACCUCCUACGCCUCGGCCUCCUCAUGCACCCCUACCCACACGCCGCGCUCGCCCACCUCUACUCCCGCGACCCCAUCGCCGCGCGCAGCCUGCUCGACGAAACGCCUCCUACGGGAGCACAGGCACCUCAUUCCCUCCUCGUCUCCCGGAACUCGCUCAUCGCCUCGCUCCUCCGCUCCGGGGACCUCCCCGCCGCGCGCGCGUUAUUUGACCAGAUGCCCGUGAGGGACGUUGUGUCCUGGAACUCUAUGGUCGCCGGCCUCGCCAAGGCCGGUCGUCUCGACAGCGCCAUCGAGCUCUUCCAACAGAUGCCUGAGAGGAACGCUGCGUCCUGGAACGCUGUCCUCUGUGGGCUCAUCGCCCAUGGCCACCUGGCUAGAGCGAGGGAGAUGUUCGAGCAGAUGCCCAUCAGGAGUAACGUCUCCUGGAUCACCAUGAUCUCUGGUUACGCCAAGGCCGGCGACGUCCACGCUGCUGCUGGCCUGUUUGAGCGGAUGGAGAACAAGAAUGAUCUCUAUGCAUGGAACGCGAUGAUUUCAUGCUAUGCACAGAACGGCUGUGCGAGGGAGGCGAUCGAAGUUUUCAACAGGAUGCUCAAGCCGCAUGUAUGUGUUUUGCCCAAUGAGAAAACUUUCUCGUCUGUCAUCUCGGCUUGCUCGCAGCUGGGGGACUUGAGGUUCGGUCUGUGGGUCCAGAGCUACAUGGGUUCCGUGGGAAUUGAACUGGACGAUCACUUGCGCACUGCUCUGCUGGAUUUAUACACCAAGACUGGGCGGAUUGACAGCGCUUUUGAUUUGUUCAGAGGCUUGAGGAAAAGAGAUGUAGUGUCUUACAGUGCGAUGAUUGUUGGCUGCGGGAUGAAUGGCAAGUUAAACGAAGCUAUAUCUUUAUUCAAGGAGAUGUCUAGUGCAAAUAUUCGUCCUAAUGCAGUGACCUUUGUGGGAUUGCUGUCUGCAUACAAACAUGCUGGGCUAAUGGAAGAAGCCCAUGCUUGCUUUGCUUCCAUGUCAAGCAAGUAUAAGAUUAGGCCUUCAAUGGAACACUACACCAUCAUGGUAGAUCUCCUUGGGCGUAGCGGGAAGCUGGAUGAGGCAUUUCAACUUAUCAUCCAGAUGCCAAUGCAGCCACACGCUAGCGUUUGGGGAGCCUUGCUUCUUGCUUGCGAGUUGCACAACAAUGCUGAGCUUGGGGAACUGGUUGCUUCCAAGUGCUUUCAACUGGCGCCUGGAGACAGUGGAUAUUACAUACUGUUGGGGAACAUAUAUGCACAAGCAAACAAAUGGGACAAGGUUAAGAGGUUAAGGAAGACAAUGACAGACAGAGGCUUGAGUAAGAUGCCUGGGAGUAGUUGGGUGCAGGCUGCAUAGUUCCAUUUUAUUGAUCGUAGUCACUUUGAAAAAUUGGGCUCAAAUAUACUGGAUUGUUGAUUUUGCUGGCAUUUGCUUGGGCAUAUUGAUGCAUAAAUAUUGGUACUUGAGAAAUUCCAGUCAUUUUAAGGAAGUUCAUUAUUGAUAUCUUGAAAAUUAAUUUCUGGCAAGUAGGAAAAAACAGCUUUCUGAAGUUGCGCAUUGCCUAUUCAACGAUAAUCUAUCUCUAUUCAGGGUGAUGUCUGGAGAAGGUAUUCACACAAGACCUGUAAGUUUUUUCAACCAUUACAUUGGUCUUUCCACUUGUUUGUGCCAAAAGAGGUGCUUACCACUACCAAUACCAGCAACAAUACCUGGCAAGUACAUUAUUAGAGCAUAUGAUCCCUACUCUCUCACUCCUCUCGCUCUAAUAUUUCCGUCUCAAUCAAAUUGUAUCAGGUUAGUAGUCAAAGCAAGGUCAGUCAAGAAGAGAAAAUUGGAAUAACAUUUUUUUUGGCCAACACUUUGCUUUAUCUUCAGCAUAUGUUUGGGAAGAACUUCAAAUAUGUGUGACCCUGGCAAAUCGUCCAAGCCCUUUGGUCGGCAAUGAUCAAAGAACAACACCAUUAAAGACGCUUUUUUAUUUUUGUCCAUUUGGUUGGGACCGGUACUUGGGAGUGUGAGAUAUGGUGCUAUCUCUGAUCGUGGUAUUUGA